UUUUUUUUUUUUUUUUUAAAACUUACCACCUUGUACAUGCUCCAUGGUUUGACAAAUGUCCAGGUUACCCACUUUCUCCUGGUGGUUGGCCACAGUAGCACCUCAUCUUCCAAAAGUGUGUUUGCAGUGGCAAGAGAGCAGUUAGAGCCAAAGGAGAGGGCAGGCUGCCAGGGCUCCUGAGCCACCCUGGGCAGCCGAGGUGCUUCUCUGCACAGGGCCUCUGAAGGCAUCUGCUCUACUACCUCACAGAGUUAGAGUAAGGACUGGGUGAGUUGACAGGAGUGCUCGUGUCCCCUGCAGGUGUUAGCGACCCCUCACUGCACUAGAAUUCCAGCUUUGACAAAAGAGACAACCCUGGCUGAACUUUGUGUGAGAAGCUCCAUCUUAAAAAUGGCUCUUAAUGUGUAAGAUACCCGGAGGUACAAAGGCCCAGAAGUUUGUUUCUGUUUGUGACUAUGUUGUUUCCAGGGAUAAUUCUCAGAUGAGCCCAGAGCCUUCCUGGCAGGGUCCUGGCGUAGAGGGACGUGAGUUUCGGUGUCAAGCUGCCCUGUGCUGUCAGCCCCGAUCCCCAUCCUCAGGCUCACAGAGAUGCCAUGGGCUGAGACGGUCACUCGGGAGCCACUGAGGAGCGUGGGGGGGUCCCGGAGAGGUUGCUCACUGAGCCAUAUUACCCAGGAAGCCAGCCCCAGGGUGGCAUGCCUGGGAGCUUCAAAUUCUGAAGGAACUCUUAGAAGCGGAAAGAGGAAGCCAUGCUGUGGUCUCAGGAUCUAACACAUUCUGACCACUGCGCAGUGAAGAACCCAGAAGGCCGCCAGGCACCCUAAGUCACAAAGGUCCUGUGCGCACUAAAUGGUCUGAGAGUUUCAGUUUUUAAUUUUUAAAAUUGCGUGUUUUUAAAACCUUCAGGCUAAGCAAAUACGAGCAAACAAACAAAAACUCUUCAGAAUUCUGUUCCCAACAAAGUAUCUUGUUAAAGAAUUGUAGGAAAAACAGAAAAAAAACAAGCCUUAAAUUAAUAUUUGUUUUUAUGAGCACAGUACCAUGUGCGUUAUAUCUGUAAUGUGAUCUCAUAUUUAAAAUGUCUCUACUUACUCUAGGGCAUAGUUGUUGAGUUUAUUGUUCUUACUUUGGUAAAAGGUCUCACUAAAAUUCUUUUAUGUGUCUAGUUAACGAAGUAUUUCCCCUUGAUUUAUUUUGGUUCUCUUUGACUACAGAACAUUUUCUUGCUUACAGUGAAACAUUGUUUAUUGCUAUACUGUCCAACUUCUUUUUCUGCUUUGACGGCAGAAGGUAAAACUGAUAUGCUCUCAAAAUCUAAGCUCUCAAACAGCUGAAGCACUUACACUGCAGAAGAGGAAGAGGUAUACUUUGUGGCAGCAUUGGAGGCUGCUGUGACUAGGGAAGGUAACCCCAUUUCCUAUAGCAAACAAGGGUUCAGUACCAUGCGAGGUGACUUUGUAAAGUUCUAAGCCAUACUGACUUUCAAUAAAACAAAAGGGAAUCCC
rnacentral:lncRNA from 1 species